UAUCGUCGUUGUCCCAUUUUUUAUUCGGUCUUUCUUCAUUUGCUCCAGUUGUCGACACAUUGCUGCAAAAUUCGAAGAAACUGACGGUGAUCUGAUAUAAAAGACACGUUGUUUUAUGUUACGAACGUCAACGCGAGAAGGAAGAACGAUUCUUCUGUCCGUCGCGAGGCUCGUCGACUUUGGAAAUACGAAAGCGAGUACACACGCUUUCAUGGAUAUUCGGGAGCCAAAUCGAACGAGAAUAUAUUCCGAGAGGCGUGUUUAUUUCGAGAGCUACGAACCUCCGGAAUCGAUGCAACCGUCGAUGCUGCCCUUGACACUCGGCAAGGGCAUUUCAUGACGAAAACACCUUUCUGUGAUCGGGCCAAACAAACUGGAUUCCGACUACAAAGCCUCCGAGGAAUAUGAAUUACUAGCGGUAAUAUUUAUUCAUUCUUACGAACAUACGUAGUCAUUUUUUGUGAAGCGACUCGGUGAAAAUUGAUGAGUGAUGUCAAAAUAAAUACAUCGGUACACAUGUUUAUUAUCGUAAAAUCGCGAAUGAAGUUCUGUUAUUUACGAUAGUAAAUUUCUAAAUACUUUGGCAUAUGGUCGAUGCUCGUGUUCGAGCUCCUCAAAUUUUACUAUGUUCAACUGUAAAUUUCAAUUGUGAAAACAGUACUAAGUAUAGCAAAACGAUAACGCCGAAGUUUGCAACGUUGGAGUCCAACGAAAUAAUGUAAAAAAACUCCUAAUGAUUCCACUAAUUCUCCAAUCUUGUUACCUGCCAAAUUUGAAAUUCGUAGUUUUUCAAGCUGCACCGAUAUUUCGUGAAAUAAAAAAUAAUUGGUGAAUUA